GUUAGGAAUAUUCGUCAAUGGGGGAAACCCUGAACGAGCAAUGCCGCGUGAGUGAUGACGGUCUUUAUGAUUGUAAAACUCUGUUGUAUGGGAAGAACACUAGAUAUAGGAAAUGAUAUCUAGCUGACGGUACCAUGCCAGAAAGCCCCGGCUAACUACGUGCCAGCAGCCGCGGUAAUACGUAGGGGGCGAGCGUUAUCCGGAUUUAUUGGGCGUAAAGCGUGUGUAGGCGGUUUAUUAAGUAUAGGAUUAAAGCCUGGGGCUUAACUCCAGUUCGUCUUAUAAACUGGUAGACUUGAGUGUGGUAGAGGCAAAUGGAAUUUCUAGUGUAGCGGUAAAAUGCGUAGAUAUUAGAAGGAACACCGGUGGCGAAGGCGAUUUGCUGGGCCAUUACUGACGCUGAGACACGAAAGCGUGGGGAGCGAAUAGGAUUAGAAACCCUAGUAGUCC
rnacentral:rRNA from 1 species